rnacentral:misc_RNA from 1 species
AAGUCGUAACAAGGUCUCCGUUGGUGAACCAGCGGAGGGAUCAUUACCGAGUUUACAACUCCCAAACCCCUGUGAACAUACCAAUUGUUGCCUCGGCGGAUCAGCCCGCUCCCGGUAAAACGGGACGGCCCGCCAGAGGACCCCUAAACUCUGUUUCUAUAUGUAACUUCUGAGUAAAACCAUAAAUAAAUCAAAACUUUCAACAACGGAUCUCUUGGUUCUG